rnacentral:rRNA from 1 species
GCUGGCGGCGUGCUUAACACAUGCAAGUCGAACGAACCUUCGGGUUAGUGGCGGACGGGUGAGUAACGCGUGAGAAUCUGCCCUCAGGAGGGGGAUAACGGUUGGAAACGACCGCUAAUACCCCAUAUGCCGCGAGGUGAAAUGAAUUUCGCCUGAGGAUGAGCUCGCGUCUGAUUAGUUAGUUGGUGGGGUAAAGGCCUACCAAGACAUCGAUCAGUAGCUGGUCUGAGAGGAUGAUCAGCCACACUGGGACUGAGACACGGCCCAGACUCCUACGGAGGCAGCAGUGGGGAAUUUUCCGCAAUGGGCGAAAGCCUGACGGAGCAACGCCGCGUGAGGGAUGAAGGCCUCUGGGCUGUAAACCUCUUUUAUCAAGGAAGAAGAUCUGACGGUACUUGAUGAAUAAGCCACGGCUAAUUCCGUGCCAGCAGCCGCGGUAAUACGGGAGUGGCAAGCGUUAUCCGGAAUUAUUGGGCGUAAAGCGUCCGCAGGCGGUCUGUCAAGUCUGCUGUUAAAGCGUGGAGCUUAACUCCAUUUCGGCAGUGGAAACUGACA